rnacentral:rRNA from 1 species
CCUACGGGCGGCAGCAGUGGGGAAUAUUGGACAAUGGGGGGAACCCUGAUCCAGCCAUGCCGCGUGUGUGAAGAAGGCCCUCGGGUUGUAAAGCACUUUCAGUGAGGAAGAACGCCUGGUGGUUAAUACCCAUCAGGAAAGACAUCACUCACAGAAGAAGCACCGGCUAACUCCGUGCCAGCAGCCGCGGUAAUACGGAGGGUGCGAGCGUUAAUCGGAAUUACUGGGCGUAAAGCGCGCGUAGGUGGCUUGAUAAGCCGGUUGUGAAAGCCCCGGGCUCAACCUGGGAACGGCAUCCGGAACUGUCAAGCUAGAGGGCAGGAGAGGAAGGUAGAAUUCCCGGUGUAGCGGUGAAAUGCGUAGAGAUCGGGAGGAAUACCAGUGGCGAAGGCGGCCUUCUGGACUGACACUGACACUGAGGUGCGAAAGCGUGGGUAGCAAACAGGAUUAGAUACCCGGGUAGUC